rnacentral:lncRNA from 1 species
AGCUCGUUAGUUUUGCUGCUGUGCUUCUGGUGGAAGGAUUAGGGAGCCUUCUUUUCCUACAUAACCUGCAAGUGCCAAUGCCCUUCCUUCAGUAAGGGAGCCCAAGGUGGUGUAGAGCAUUUGAGUCCUGGUGUUUUCCUGCAAGUAUGCAGCAUCCUCUAACUAGGAGCAUAGAAGAGGGAAAUUGUAUCAUCUGGAUUCCUCUGGUUCUGUUUGCUCCUUAGAGCACUGAAUGAAUUCCCUCCCUAAAUGGUAUGUGGAAUUGUGGAAUAGAAAGUGUGGUGGAACAGAAAAGCUGCUUCCUAGCAUCCUCUAGCCUCCCUAGAGGCACAGAUCAGGAUUCCAGGGAGGUAAGCAACCCUCAGCAGCUCUGCAAAGAGGGAGCGUCUACAACAGGGAAUGGAAGUGUCUGCACCACAAUGAAGUACAAGAGGAACAUGACUGAAAACCAAGGGAGGUUCCUUAUGAGCAAGUAAGUCCUGGGUCGGCUGGCAUGUCCUCCAUAAUCCCCCAGGACAUAGCAGAAAUACAUAAAGUUAACUACCCUGGGAAUCUGUGUCUGAGGGAGAAUGAUGCCAUGUGUGAUACAAGGAGAUAAAAGUGCUCUAUCAGAGACUUAAUGAACAAUAAUAUAUGGGGAGGUUGAAAGCAUGGAAGGAGAACUUCUUCCUGAGCCACAGCUGGUGACCAGCCUAGGCUCUGAAGCAUGGAGAUUGAUAGCCCUUGUAAUUAUGUCCCCGCCCAACGGAACUGCAGGUACUGUCCUUGUUCAAACAACUCCUUUAUCCUUUCCAAAAGUUAUUUGCUCCAAUGAUCAGCAGAAGCAAGGAAGCAACAGGGGUCAACCCUGUAGACAGAGGUAAAUGAAGCUUAGGACAUGCUUUGGGGGUAGGGUGGGAGUAGAGGAAGGGUAGGUACCACCAAGAUCUUAUCAACAGUUUAAAUAAGUUUAAGUAAAAUCCUCUAACCUUUAGAUGGUUUUAUAAAAACAGAUACCCCAAAAUCAGAUGGGUCUCCAUGUUACAUCUUCCAAGUACUAAUCAUGGAGAAUCAUCACUCUAUAUUCUAGACUAUAUCCCCAGAAAAGAGUUUAGUCUUGCCUGCAAACCAGGUAUGUAUUUCUCCCCUCAUACCUGUAAGGUCCCUUGACCAAAUGGGCUCCAACCUAAACGAAUGAGAAAGUGCCAAGAGCUCAUGUGGCAAAAGGCCACCUCCUGCUUCUAGGACUUGGAAAUCCUUUCCUCCUUUGUGGAGUUCUCAUUUGAUUCUCCUUAGGCACAGUCUUCUUCUGGAGUCCAAAUGCUGUGCCUUUUCCCAGUCCUUUUCUCUUUCGAAGUCACACAUCCUGAAACCACCAUUAUCUUCAGGUGACUCUAACCAAAGUCUAGUUCUGCCUGCUUUGGUGAUGUGCGUAUGGCGAUGGACCUGUGAGGAAUGGAAGAUAAGUGUCCUACAAAGGGCAAUGGAGACAUGAAU